ensembl:lncRNA
CAGGGGAAGCUGCUCUGGAAGAAGGGCUGCUUACACAGACAUCUCAAGGAUGGAAAAGAAAGAAAAGACAAUCCCGAGAGUAGGGAAGAGCUUGGGUAAAGGAGAGGCCAAAAGUUCUACCUACAUGAGGAGGAGAGAGGGAGAGAAUGAGAUGGCAGGAAAACUUGGAGAGACACAGCUCUGCACAAUCAGGGAAUUAUCAUGGUGCCCUCUUCAUAAAGCGACUUCAUAAGCUUCAACAGCAAUCCUUCAUGUCUGUAAUUUCACAUCCACUAAUCUGAUUCACCCAGAAAUCGAUGAAGGCUCAAAGAACACACAAUCUCUUCCUUUGGUGUAUUACAAUCUACGAUUCAUAUUUCAAGUUCCAUGAAGAUUCCAAAAUGAAUCAGCUUUGCCUAGGGUUGGAGCCUGGCAGCAGCCAGAGAGGAAAAUACCUGUCUCUAAAGAUCCAGAAAGACUCCAGCCCUUCAGAUCAAAUAGCUGAAACAAUGGAUGAUCUGAACUGUUGAUGACCUCACCCCAUCCAGGUGCCCAUCCACAUAGACAAAAAUGUCCAGAGCCAAAGAGCCUUGCUCUUCCCAUCACGGAUCCCACUGUAACAAUCAACCUUCAUAGUCUGUAAUUGCUGAUUUGAUAUCUUGAAAUCAUGGGCCAGAAUUAUUGAUGAACCUACCAGUCCUGUGGUUUUGCAGCUCAUGGAGUUCAUAUUACA